UGACCUCAAAUCAGGUAGGAUUACCCGCUGAACUUAAGCAUAUCAAUAAGCGGAGGAAAAGAAACUAACAAGGAUUCCCCUAGUAACUGCGAGUGAAGCGGGAAAAGCUCAAAUUUAAAAUCUGGCAGCCUUUGGCUGUCCGAGUUGUAAUCUAGAGAAGUGCUAUCCGCGCUGGACCGUGUACAAGUCUCCUGGAAUGGAGCGUCAUAGAGGGUGAGAAUCCCGUCUUUGACACGGACUGCCAGGGCUUUGUGAUGUGCUCUCGAAGAGUCGAGUUGUUUGGGAAUGCAGCUCAAAAUGGGUGGUAAAUUCCAUCUAAAGCUAAAUAUUGGCGAGAGACCGAUAGCGAACAAGUACCGUGAGGGAAAGAUGAAAAGAACUUUGGAAAGAGAGUUAAACAGUACGUGAAAUUGCUGAAAGGGAAACGCUUGAAGUCAGUCGCGUUGUCCAGGGAUCAACCUUGCUUUUGCUUGGUGCACUUUCUGGUUGACGGGUCAGCAUCAAUUUUGACCAUUGGAAAAAGAUUAGGGGAAUGUGACAUCUUAGGAUGUGUUAUAGCCCUUGGUUGCAUACAAUGGUUGGGAUUGAGGAACUCAGCACGCCGCAAGGCCGGGUUUUAACCACGUACGUGCUU
rnacentral:rRNA from 1 species